rnacentral:rRNA from 1 species
UACGUAGGGGGCUAGCGUUGUCCGGAUUUAUUGGGCGUAAAGAGCGUGUAGGCGGCCAGGUAGGUCUGCUGUGAAAACUCGAGGCUUAACCUCGAGAUGUCGGCGGAAACCAUCUGGCUAGAGUCCGGAAGAGGAGAGUGGAAUUCCUGGUGUAGCGGUGAAAUGCGCAGAUAUCAGGAAGAACACCCGUGGGGAAGGCGGCUCUCUGGGACGGUACUGACGCUGAGACGCGAAAGCGUGGGGAGCGAACAGG